CGAGUUUUCAAUAAUUAAUAUUCAAAAUGGCGAUGGAAACAGUGCCAAGAGAACUUCGUGGUUUAAGAGCAUGUUUGUUGUGUUCUCUGAUCAAGACGUCGGACCAGUUUGAAUAUGAUGGCUGCGACAACUGCGAGAAAUUUCUACGUUUGAAGGGCAGUAAAGAUAACAUAAGCAACUGUACAAGUUCUAAUUUUGAUGGAAUAAUAUCAUUGAUAAGCGGUGAUGACAGCUGGGUUGCAAGAUGGCAGCGAAUAGAUAACAUGGUACCAGGAUGCUAUGCUGUAUCUGUAACAGGAAAACUACCAAUGCAUAUUAUAAGAGAACUAAAAGCAAGAGGGGUUGAUCAUAUUCCAAGAGAUCGUUCACAGCAGUUGUAAUACUCAUGAGGAACAUUUCAUGUGUUAAAACAGUUGAUAUGGCUGUCAGUAUCCCCCAAUAUUAGAAAAGAAACUUCAAGUUCUGGUAUCCAUCUUAAAUAACCUUUACAAUGAGAUGGGGAAGAAUGAAAUUGUAUGACUAUGCUAAGCAGUAUUUCCUGUAUGUUAUCUGAUCUGUGCUGUUCCUUAUGGUGAGGUUAGCUGAACUAUUGUCCAUCAUCUCAUAGCUGGAACUGCUUCUGGAGUAUUCACAUUUCUGUUGCCCUGAAUAUGAUUGCUGAGGCUUAUUCAUCAUGUUUCUAAAAGGUUCAAAAAUGAUAUUUAAUAGUUCAGGGAUAAAACAGCAUUUAUAGGCAGCAAUGGAAAAAAACGACAUACCUCUCUGUAAAUGAAAAAUUCUUCCUUGUGGAAUUUUGAGGCUUGUUACUUGAGAAA